UAGGGGGAAAUUGAUGAAUCAUUAUGCUCUCUGUCACAUCAAUCUUAUCAAACAUCUCGAGACCCGCCUUUCGAGACGUGUGCUCUUCUCUGUCUCAAUGAGAAAAGCAAACGUGAAGGCAGAAUGUGGUGACACUGCUAUGGAAAGGUACUUAAAUAACCGACAUGGUAACCUGCCAUUUUACAUAAGCCCACAAUCAAACAAACAGCCAAGACAACUCUUAUAAGCAAGUAUUAUCUGUUGCACAUUGGAUCACUAAGAAUAUAUGGAUAACCCGGUUGAUCAAGUUUAAGUGAUUUCUUCUUAUCAUCAGGUCAUUUUGGCGACGAGAGCAGUGAUAAUUGCACAGGACGAAAUGUCGAUGACUGGAUAGAGUCGUUCGAAGUCAAAUGAGUGAGAUCCAUUAAGGCAAUGAUCAAUUACUAAGACUUUUCCAUAAAUUUAUUUUGAAAGAAAGACAAAAGGCCGAGACAUUUACGUAGUAAGAGCCAAUCGGCUUGAAAAAAAUCAUUUGCGUGGUAUAGCUAAGAAAAUAAUAAAAUAUAUAAUAAUAAUAAUAAUGAUAACAUGUUACAUAAUUGACUGAAUUUUUGGUUGAGCCAGAGAUGAUAAUUUAUAAUACUUGAUUUUAUUUUAUAGCUUCUAGAGCGUAUUUACACUUGACAAAACUGUUUAAUCGUUCCGCUCUUGUCAUUUUCUGUUGCUGAAGGUUUCUUCAAGUUCUUGAGUUUCCUAAGAUUUCCUAAGUUCGAUCAAAACAACAAAAUAUGAUUAAACUUCCUAAAAAUUCCUAGGAUUUCCUAGUAUAAGCAGUAGACCAGAAAAUCGGAAUAAUUUGGAUAAGAAAAUCUUAGGAAGAAGAUUUGAAGCCGUUCUACAAUUUAGGAACUCUUAGGAAAUUCUUAGGAAAUCCUAAAGAACAUGUUCAAUACAAGAACAGGCCUCACCAUACUUGCAUAUAUUGUCAGCUAUACUACAACAAUAGGAAAUGUAAUCAAAGACAGGCAUUGGACUCGAACAUGAGUUUUAUGUGGUGUACCUUCAGAAUUCGCUCAGAAUAAUUAGUACUGCAUUGAAAAGAAAGAUAGGUAGGGUGAUAAUUGUAUAAAAUUCUUAGAUCCGAUUUGAACAUUAUAAAAUCAUAUAUAUUGUUUCUAAUAGAAAUGCUACUUGAGACUAUAAAAAAAAAAGAAGCCCCGCUUUGCAGAUAGAAGACUGCUCCACCAGGCCCGUAAAAGCAAAAUGUACCGGGCCUCCCUCGCUUUAGUGGCCAAGAGGGGCUUGGGCCCAAGGCGCAAAAUCAUAACGGUCGAACGAAAGCCAUUAUCACAGCCUCCAAACGAAUAGUCGUUUAUUCCCGUCUUUUCUACGCGUAAUUCACCUUUUUUAAGGAUUUGAUGGCAGAAAAUGGAUUGAAGUAAAAGGGCAUUAUGAUAGAGAUAGUAAAAUGUGCUCGAGUUGCAAAGCCAGAAAAGAAAGAAGUUGGAGGUAUAAGGAAUGUAUCAAUGCGUAAAUCGCAAGAAACGAAUAAAAACUUCGUAAACUUAA